rnacentral:lncRNA from 1 species
CUACAUUCUAUAUAUUUGUAUUGUUUGCAUACAUUGUUGCUUUUACCUGUAUAUCUAUUGUCAUUGUGAUGUGACAAUAAACCUGAUUUAAUCUGAUUUAACAUUUUAAUAGCAAACUGUUGACUUUUGUCUAUUCCAACACAGUAACCAUCUACAUAGAAAUUCAGAAUAGAUUUGGAUCAUCUACCAAACCCUGUCCUGUUCCUGUAACAGUCUUGCCAAGCUUCCAGAGAACAUCAUCCUCUAAUCCAGAUCAGGAGCUGUUGCUGCACGGACUUGGUAAUGUAACUAACCUGAUGCUGAUGAAGAGUAGCAGAGACCUCGUUAAUUACGUCUCUCUCCUCACUGUGGUGUUGAACCGGCUGAGUUUGGAUGUAGACUCUUCUGUGAAACUGCAGACUCACACGCGCAGUGCCCUCAUUUCAGCAGUUUGUCAGCUGACUGUCACCAACCAGGUACUGGUCUGAUCUUUGACCUCUGAUAACAUGUGAUAUUUUUCUCUAUA